rnacentral:rRNA from 1 species
UACGUAGGGUGCAAGCGUUGUCCGGAAUUAUUGGGCGUAAAGAGCUCGUAGGCGGUCUGUCGCGUCUGCUGUGAAAACUCGGGGCUUAACCCCGGGCCUGCAGUGGGUACGGGCAGACUAGAGUGCGGUAGGGGAGACUGGAAUUCCUGGUGUAGCGGUGAAAUGCGCAGAUAUCAGGAGGAACCCCGGUGGCGAAGGCGGGUCUCUGGGCCGUAACUGACGCUGAGGAGCGAAAGCAUGGGGAGCGAACAGG